rnacentral:lncRNA from 1 species
UUUAAAAAAUGUUAUAGUAAUAAUAAAUUUUUAAUUUCAAUUUUUUUAAAAAGGACAUUAUUUAAAAUUGUAAGGGAAUUUGGGUUAUUUUAUUAAUAAUAAUAGGAACAUAAACAAACCACACAAUUUGAAAGAAUUCAAAACCAAACAAACAAACAAAUAAAAUAACAACCCAACAUUGAGCAGGCAUCCACUUUCCCUUUCCAUGGGCAAUCAGCAACACCAUGGAAUCCAAAACGGCAACCUAUGUUCCUAGCCAACAAUCAUACCGUUCAUCUCCCCUGAUCUCAACCGAAACCCCCCAAACAUUGUCGAACACUCAAAGAAUUUAGCAACCCAUCACCACCUCAAAAGUAACCCACCGGUCUUCGUACCCCCACCCUAGAUAGUACUAGCCCUCAAUACCCUUCCCCCCUUCAAACCCCAUUGAAGUUUCUUGCGAUGCCAUCAGAGAACAUCUCCACCAUUUCUUCCCCCUUCCCCCAACUGUCAUUCGCGCCGAUCGUUGUCCAUCGCAUCCCUCGCAAAGUCCAACACACACCCUUCCAGAUAAGUACUCCCACCUCUCAUCAACCCCUCUCUUGAUAGUAUAUGUGCAACUCUAUUCGCAUCCCUGGGAACAUGUCUAAAUGAGCAUCUUGUGAAACCUUCUAUUUUUUUCUUUGCAUCGUAUAUAUAAGCCCCUAUAAACGGCCCAUUUUCAUUGCAGGACCUCAUCUUUUUUAUCACUGACAAGGCGUCCCCUUCUACCAUCACCUAUUGAAUCCCUAAAUCUAUCCCCAAACUUACUGCCUGAAGACAUGCAAGGGCCUCUGCUGCAAAACUCGUAGGUAUGCGGCAAUUUAUUAUUGUUUUUGAGCGUACCACUUUACCCUCCCAAUUUUUGAUAAUUACCCCCGAGUAUGAUCUAUCAUUCCCUUGAAAUGCUGCAUCAAAAUUUAUUUUGAGGAAAGGAUCCUUUGGAGGCUUCCAACUUUCAUUCUCAACCCUUCGAACAUGUAAUUUCCUUUGAACCACAUCAACAUCUCUAAUGUAGGACUCAACCCUAUGAAUUAUGUCUUGAGAUAAUAAGAUCGUCCUGUCAUGAAUUAAUCUAUUUCUUGUUGACCACAUAUACCAUAGGGUACAAAUCACAAUUCUUCAUAUAGUAGUAGAGAAUGUGGAAACAAUGUAAUUAAGCCAUUCUUGUAAAGAUCCAUUAGCAAUAUCAUUAGGCUAUUCGAAAUCUAACUUUCUCCAUAUUUCCGCUAUAGAAGGACAGUCUCUAAAAAUAUGCUCAGAGGUUUCGACAUCUCUUGUACACUUCGGGCACAUUGUUGAACUUCACAGCCUCUUGUUGUACAAAUUAUUGUAGUUAGGGAUGUAAUUUUUAAAGAUUCUGCAUGCUGUAAUUUUUAUUUUCUCUAGUAAAUUGAUCUACCAAAGUCUCUUAAAGAAGGUUGUAUAAUUAUUGUUUCUACCAAUAGACUCGGCAUUCUGAAUUAAGAUCUUAUAGCCACUCUUUACUGAAAAUAUAAUAAAUUAUUCAAACACACAUAUUUAU